GAACAUUGAACCAGAAAAUCCUCAUCUUUUUCCCUCUCCAUCCCCACAUUCUUCCUCGCUCUCGCUCUCGCUCACUCUCGCGCUCCUGUUCACACUCAUGUUCCCGCUCCCGCUCCCGCUCCUGCUCUCGCUCUCGUGUUAAACACGUUCUCAGAUGAAUCACAAAUUAUAUCAGAAAAGAAAUUGCAAAACAAAACCCAAGCCUAAUCUCCUUAUCCCUAUCGAAAUUCACAUCUCUCUCUCUGUCAUAGUUCUUCAACCACGAUUCGUCACAGCUGUCUCCCUCUCUAUCACAGUUCUUCAACCAGAAUCGACUGCUGCCGUGUCUCAGCUUCUCUCGAUUGGUGGUGGUGCUGCUGC
rnacentral:lncRNA from 1 species